rnacentral:rRNA from 1 species
UACGGAGGGGGCUAGCGUUUGUUCGGAAUUACUGGGCGUAAAGCGCACGUAGGCGGCUUUGUAAGUUAGAGGUGAAAGCCCGGGGCUCAACUCCGGAAUUGCCUUUAAGACUGCAUCGCUAGAAUUGUGGAGAGGUAAGUGGAAUUCCGAGUGUAGAGGUGAAAUUCGUAGAUAUUCGCAAGAACACCAGUGGCGAAGGCGGCUCACUGGCCCGGUACUGACGCUGAGGUGCGAAAGCGUGGGGAGCAAACAGG